rnacentral:rRNA from 1 species
ACCAGACUCCUACGGGAGGCAGCAGUGGGGGAUAUUGCACAAUGGGGGGAACCCUGAUGCAGCGACGCCGCGUGGGUGAAGAAGUAUUUCGGUAUGUAAAGCCCUAUCGGCAGGGAAGAAAUUGGACGGUACCUGACUAAGAAGCCCCGGCUAACUACGUGCCAGCAGCCGCGGUAAUACGUAGGGGGCAAGCGUUAUCCGGAUUCACUGGGUGUAAGGGGAGCGUAGACGGCCAUGCAAGCCUGGAGUGAAAGCCCGGGGCCCAACCCCGGGACUGCUCUGGGAACUGUGCGGCUGGAGUGCGGGAGGGGCAGGCGGAAUUCCUGGUGUAGCGGUGAAAUGCGUAGAUAUCAGGAGGAACACCGGCGGCGAAGGCGGCCUGCUGGACCGCGACUGACGUUGAGGCUCGAAAGCGUGGGGAGCAAACAGGAUUAGAUACCCCGGUA